rnacentral:lncRNA from 1 species
GGGGAUGCUUGGGCAACGCCAAAGCCUUCGAGUGUUGAUCUUUGGUUUUGUUUCCAGCAGCCUCUAAGCUUGCUGUUGUCUGAUUCAAUUAAUGUAAGGUUGCUAAUCUAUGUUCGAUGCCACUGGUGGCUUACCUCUAACUGUUGAGGUGGUUUCAAAUUUUUGUACUCAAUUCGGCAUCUCUCAACUGGCAGUUGGUGAUAUUUGAUUGCUUUUGAGAUGUGCUUUAUUGUUUUCUCCAUUUCUUAUAAGCAAGGUUCAGAGUGAAAAUAGAGGUUGUUCAGUAAUGGGGAUCAUUCGCACUAAUGGUUUACAUUAUAGUGGUUAAUGCC